rnacentral:rRNA from 1 species
UACGUAGGGUGCGAGCGUUGUCCGGAAUUAUUGGGCGUAAAGAGCUCGUAGGCGGUUUGUCGCGUCUGCUGUGAAAACCCGAGGCUCAACCUCGGGCCUGCAGUGGGUACGGGCAGACUAGAGUGCGGUAGGGGAGAUUGGAAUUCCUGGUGUAGCGGUGAAAUGCGCAGAUAUCAGGAAGAACACCCGUGGCGAAAGCGGCUCUCUGGGACGGUACUGACGCUGAGACGCGAAAGCGUGGGGAGCGAACAGG